rnacentral:rRNA from 1 species
AUUCCAGCUCCAAUAGCGUAUAUUAAAGUUGUUGCAGCUAAAAAGCUCGUAGUUGAAUUUUGGGUUCGGUUGGCUGGUCUGCCUUUGGUUUGUACUGGCCGACUGAACCUUUCCUUCUGGCGAACUCUUGUGUCCUUAACUGGGUGCGAUUGGGAACCAGGACUUUUACUUUGAAAAAAUUAGAGUGUUUAAAGCAAGCUCACGCUUGAAUACAUUAGCAUGGAAUAAUAAAAUAGGACUUUGGUUUUAUUUUGUUGGUUUCUAAGACCGAAGUAAUGGUUAAUAGGGACAGUUGGGGGCAUUGGUAUUUAGUCGUCAGAGGUGAAAUUCUUGGAUUGACUAAAGACUAACUUCUGCGAAAGCAUUUGCCAAGGAUGUUUUCAUUA